GGCUCCAUGGUGUAAUGGUAGCAUGUAGCUCUCCGGAGGCUAUAGUCCGGGUUCGAUUCCCGGUGGAGUCG